GUCUCAAGAUGAGUCUUGCCGGGGACUUGAGCCCCCUGAAGAGUCGUUCGAGACCAGGACGUUGAUAGGCCGGAUGUGGAAGCGCAGUAAUGCGUUAAGCUAACCGGUACUAAUUGCUCGUGAGGCUUGACCCU
rnacentral:rRNA from 1 species